rnacentral:rRNA from 1 species
UGGGGAAUUUUGGACAAUGGGCGCAAGCCUGAUCCAGCCAUGCCGCGUGCGGGAAGAAGGCCUUCGGGUUGUAAACCGCUUUUGUCAGGGAAGAAAUCUUCUGAGUUAAUACCUCGGGAGGAUGACGGUACCUGAAGAAUAAGCACCGGCUAACUACGUGCCAGCAGCCGCGGUAAUACGUAGGGUGCAAGCGUUAAUCGGAAUUACUGGGCGUAAAGCGUGCGCAGGCGGUUUUGUAAGACAGAGGUGAAAUCCCCGGGCUCAACCUGGGAACUGCCUUUGUGACUGCAAGGCUUGAGUGCGGCAGAGGGGGAUGGAAUUCCGCGUGUAGCAGUGAAAUGCGUAGAUAUGCGGAGGAACACCGAUGGCGAAGGCAAUCCCCUGGGCCUGCACUGACGCUCAUGCACGAAAGCGUGGGGAGCAAACAGGAUUAGAUACCCUGGUAGUCCACGCCCUAAACGAUGUCAACUGGUUGUUGGGAAGGUUCCUUCUCAGUAACGUAGCUAACGCGUGAAGUUGACCGCCUGGGGAGUAUGGCCGCAA